UUUUUCCUACGGGACGCAGCAGUGGGGAAUAUUGGGCAAUGGGCGCAAGCCUUACCCAGCAAUACCGCGUGAGUGAAGAAGGUCUUCGGAUUGUAAAGCUCUUUGAUCAGGGACGAACAGAUGACGGUACCUGAAGAACAAGCCCCGGCUAACUACGUGCCAGCAGCCGCGGUAAUACGUAGGGAGCGAGCGUUAUCCGGAAUUAUUGGGCGUAAAGGGUGCGUAGAUGGCAUAGUAAGUCUUUUGUAAAAAUGCUGGGCUCAACCCAGUAGGGCAAAAGAUACUGCAAAGCUAGAGUAUGACAG
rnacentral:rRNA from 1 species